rnacentral:rRNA from 1 species
UACGUAGGUGGCAAGCGUUUGUCCGGAAUUAUUGGGCGUAAAGAGCUCGUAGGCGGUUUGUCGCGUCUGCUGUGAAAUCCCGAGGCUCAACCUCGGGUCUGCAGUCGAUACGGGCAAACUAGAGUAUUGCAGGGGAGACUGGAACUCCUGGUGUAGCGGUGGAAUGCGCAGAUAUCGGGAGGAACACCUAUGGCGAAAGGCGGGUCUCUGGGGCAGUAACUGACGCUGAGGAGCGAAAGCGUGGGGAGCGAACAGG